rnacentral:rRNA from 1 species
UACAGAGGGGGCAAGCGUUGUUCGGAAUCAUUGGGCGUAAAGGGUGCGUAGGUGGCCAUGUAAGUCAGUUGUGAAAUCCCCGGGCUCAACCCGGGAAGUGCUUCUGAUACUGCUUGGCUUGAAUAUUGGAGAGGUGAGUGGAAUUCCAGGUGUAGUGGUGAAAUUCGUAGAUAUGGGGAGGAACACCGGUGGCGAAGGCGGCCACCUGGACGGUAACUGACGCUGAGACGCGAAAGCGUGGGGAGCAAACAGG